AUUGAACGCUGGCGGCAGGCCUAACACAUGCAAGUCGAACGAGUGGCGGACGGGUGAGUAAUGUCUGGGAAUCUAGCUUAUGGAGGGGGAUAACUACGGGAAACUGUCGCUAAUACCGCGUACCAUAGGAUGAGCCCAAGUGGGAUUAGGUAGUUGGUGAGGUAAAGGCUCACCAAGCCGACGAUCCCUAGCUGGUCUGAGAGGAUGACCAGCCACACUGGGACUGAGACACGGCCCAGACUCCUACGGGAGGCAGCAGUGGGGAAUAGUGCACAAUGGGCGCAAGCCUGAUGCAGCCAUGCCGCGUGUAUGAAGAAGGCCCUCGGGUUGUAAAGUUCUUUCGGUAGCGAGGCGUUAACGACAGAAGAAGCACCGGCUAACUCCGUGCCAGCAGCCGCGGUAAUUC
rnacentral:rRNA from 1 species